UACGGAGGGUGCAAGCAUUAAUCGGAUUUAUUGGGCGUAAAGGGCGCGUAGGCGGGCAAUCAAGUCAGAUGUGAAAUACCGGAGCUCAACUCCGGAACGGCAUUUGAAACUGAUAGUCUAGAGGGUAGACGGAGAAAAUAGAAUUCCACAAGUAGCGGUGAAAUGCGUAGAUAUGUGGAAGAAUACCAGUGGCGAAGGCGAUUUUCUAGUUUAUACCUGACGCUGAGGCGCGAAAGUAAGGGGAUCAAACAGG
rnacentral:rRNA from 1 species